rnacentral:misc_RNA from 1 species
CGCAUGCGUGCGCACGAAGAGAAGCAUACCCACAUGCACCAUGCGCAACAUCCGCCACCCGUGCCAUCGGCUGGGGGGCUGCUGAGGGAGCCAUCUGGCGGUGUUGUCAUUGACUGCCGAAGCACACGCUACCACGUCGUGCGUGCCGCGGCGCGCAUGGUCGAGUGGACGGUGUACGAUACCGAUACUGAGGAGCACCCACCACCCCUGUUUCAUGGCGUGUCGCUCGAGUCUCCAGAGCGAGUCGCCACACCGCCGCAUGCACCUCAGGUCCUGUGGGUAGACAAGAGCGUUGUGCGUUCCCGCGUGGCAGAACUGGCGUGCUACCAGCGCCUGAACCACUAUGCCGCAAUGAACGUGAUUGCCCGAAAGGCGCUCCUGUUUCGCCGUCUCAUGCAGCUGUCGCGGCUUCAAUCGGCGGACUGCGCGCGGUCGAAGCGUCCUGGUGGCGGUGCGGCGGUGGACGGCACGAAUCGUGCCGAAUCGACUCUAGAGCGGUUUCUUGCGCUGUCGGUACCAGCGAGCUUCUCCAGCCUCACGGAUCUCGGCCGCUUGGCAGCGUUUCGACGGGAGCUGGCGGAGCACGCCAGCCCUUCCUCCGAAGCCCGCCCUGUGUUCUUCAUCAUCAAACCCAACACAGGGUGCGAGGGCAGGGGCAUCCGUCUCACCACCUCCCCAGAGGCGGAUCUGACCGAGGCGGAACGAAGGGACCAGAAGAGGGAGUGCGUCGUGCAGCUGUACGUGGAUCGUCCGUUGCUGAUGGGCGGCAGGAAGUUCGACUUGCGUCUUUAUGUGCUGCUUGUCGCGACAGUGCCCCGGCAGCAGUCGCGCCGCUCGACAGCAACGCCUGCAGCUUCCCGUGACGUGCCGACUAUCUCCAAACCCGCAGUGAACGAGAGCUACAGUAACUCAACAGCGGUGCCGCGCGAUGUACAAGGCGUGGAGCUGUACGUGCACCGUGAAGGCCUUGUGCGCGUCUGCGCCAAACCCUACGCAGCGCCGACCGACGGAAACUGCGGCGACGCAUCGCGGCACUUGACGAACUACGCAGUGAACAGAACAUCGUCCUUGUACGUGCCGGCCGUUCACGACGACGGCGCUGAACCUCACGUCGAUGUGGGCGUCUCUCCGGGGCAGCCAAGGGCGCCAGCUGACCGGGAGGAUAGCAACAAGCAGAGCCUCGCCGCGUUCGCCUCCUUCAUCGAGUCUCUCCAAGUCCCGGGCGGGUGGCCGCGUGUGCGACGCAGCUUAGAUGAGUGCAUCACCCUCACCAUUCUCUCUGGUGUCGAGGUGCUGCGACGUGAGCUGAUCGGCGCUGGCGGCACACGAGGCUACCGUGCCGAUGGCCGCAGCUGCUUCGAGCUGCUGGGUUUCGACGUGAUGCUGCGCGAGGCGGACCUGCACCCGGUCUUGAUGGAGGUGAACCACUCCCCGUCGCUGUUCUGCGACACAGCCUUCGACUUUGCCGUAAAGAGUGCCGUUUUGCGCGACACCUUUCGGCUGCUGGAGACGCACAUACCCCCCUGGGGGCAGCACGAGGGCAAUCCGCAGCGGUACGAGGCCUGCAUGCAAGGCGAUGCCAAAGCAUGGAUGGAGGAGCGAGCGGAUAUGCUAAUGCGCGGGACUGCCGCGGAACCGUUCGGGUUUCGCCGCCUACUCCCCCACUACAGUGCGGGCUGCGGUACAGGUGAUACUGAGAGGAUCGGGGACGGGGCGGACAUUGAUGACUGGCUGCCAGCAGAAAGAGCGGCCCAGCAGCGCAUGGUGGAGUUGUCGAGGCGACUGCCCUGAGCCCGCAUCUCCCCCCCCUCCACCCCCGCUGCUGCUGCCGCUGCUCGACUCCAUCCACGACCCCUUCCCCUCGCCCACGGCAAUACCACCCUCGCGAGUCUGUGUCUCCUGUGCGCCGCCCACCGGGGAGGGAGACACUGAAGCGCAUUCUUGAGCACCGUGCCAUCUGCGUUGGCACACCCUUGGCGGCACUUACGUGGAGCUGUCCUCCUCUCAGCGACACAUGCAUACAUGCACCUGCGCAAGACCUAGCAAGAUCAGACCCCGCCUAUUCCUUCCAUUCUUAGCCGUCGCCACAAUGCCCGCUGCCCUUACGCUUGCAAUUGAUUCCAGCACCAUCGUGAGUGCAUCCGUGCCAGGCACCGAGGGGUGCGGAAGGAGAGGGGCACAGGGCCGGUAAGGGUGAGACAGGUGCUGUUAAGGGCGGUAUCGCAUGCGCCUGUAGCACCCUUCCUCCCCCUCUCCCACCCCCGUCUGCCUCGCCUCAUUCGAUGCUCGCACCUGCACACACGCAUAGUCACACACCCACACACAAAUCCCAUCAUUGAUGACUCCUCCCUGCUCUUGCGAUCUACCCUUGCCGGCCUUUUCUGCUUAUUCCCCUGCCCACUUCUUCCCGCCAACUGCCACUGCUCCGCUACUAG